CGAGUCUUGUAGCAUACAAGGCGGACGGCUCAGUAACACGUAGUCAACCUAACUUGUGGACGUGGAUAACCUCGGGAAACUGAGAAUAAACCACGAUAGAUCAUAGUGCCUGGAAUGGCUUAUGGUCCAAACAGUUUACUGCCAUGGGAUGGGACUGCGGCCUAUCAGCUUGUUGGUGAGGUAAUGGCCCACCAAGGCGAUUACAGGUACGGGCUCUGAGAGGAGAAGCCCGGAGAUGGGUACUGAGACACGGACCCAGGCCCUAUGGGGCGCAGCAGGCGAGAAACCUUAGCAAUGUGCGAAAGCACGACUGGGUCAGUCCGAGUGAUUCCUGAUAAAGGAGUCUUUUGCUUGUCCUAAAAGCACAGGUGAAUAAGGGGUGGGCAAGUCUGGUGUCAGCCGCCGCGGUAAUACCGGCACCUCGAGUGGUCAGGACGUUUAUUGGGCCUAAAGCAUCCGUAGCCGGCUCUGCAAGUCUUCGGUUAAAUCCACCUGCUCAACAGAUGGGCUGCUGGAGAUACUACAGAGCUAGGGAGUGGGAGAGGCAGACGGUAUUCAGUGGGUAGGGGUAAAAUCCUCUGAUCCAUUGAGGACCACCAGUGGCGAAGGCGGUCUGCCAGAGCACGUUCGACGGUGAGGGAUGAAAGCUGGGGGAGCAAACCGGAUUAGAUACCCGGGUAGUCCCAGCUGUAAGCGAUGCAAACUCGGUGAUGCAUUGGCUUAUGGCCAAUGCAGUGCCGC
rnacentral:rRNA from 1 species